GGAUGAUAAAAUUACCUUUAUGUCCAUGCGAAGUGAGAGAGUCGCUAGAAGUAUAUGUUGUAUGUGGAUUUAGGUAGGGUAGUCUUGUGUCAGUUAGCGUGUCAGUUUGUGUCAGAUUCAGAUUGUGUUCAAGAUAUAUUAAGAGGUUGGCUACAUACAACUUUAGAUGAUAUUUGGUUCUUUAUUUCACUGUAUUUUCUGGGAUCUUCUUUUUUUGUCACGAUUUCUGGGUUCUUCUUAUGUCCUUUUUCUUUUACUAAAAUUUGGAUCUUCUUAUUUCCUUGUUUCACUGUAUUUUUCGGUUUGGUUCCUUGUUUCAUGAUGAGACUUGGUUAUUUGGUCCAUUGUUUUAUUGUAUUUCUGGGUUUUUCAAUCUGAGUCUCCUCUAUACUGCAUCACCUCCGCGUCUUGUCGAACACUCUGAUGUGUCUCUUCGUCCAGAUCCGCCGUUCAUCGCCUUGCUCCUCUCCCGCGGUUGUCAUGCUCUGGAUUUGGAAUUGGUGGCUUUCACCGUCGCGACUCCAAUUGGUCUCCAAAAGCUCGCUGAGACAACAAUGGCCAAGUUUGGCUCUUUUGCAUAUAUGAUCCUAAGAUUUUUCAUAGUUUUGUUUCUGACUCCGAACUCUUGCAUUGUACAUAUAUUUUCUCGAAUUAAUCCCUAGCGUUUUGAUUGUACAUUCUAGACCUCUUCACACAUGAAAAAAUGAUCCUUGAUCUCUGUAUAGUUUGUAUUUUUGACCUGAAACUUACUAAGUUGCAGAACUAUCUUUGAGGUUUCAACCUAAAACUUCAAAUGUUCACUUUAG
rnacentral:lncRNA from 1 species